rnacentral:rRNA from 1 species
CUACGGGGCGCUCCAGUCGAGAAUCUUUAGCAAUGGGCGAAAGCCUGACUAUGCGACGCCGCGUGAGGGAUGAAGGCCUUCGGGUUGUAAACCUCUUUCGAUUGGGAAGAAAAUAUUUGAGGCGAAUAACCUUAAGUACUGACGUUACCAAGAGAAGAAGCCACGGCCAACUCCGUGCCAGCAGCCGCGGUAAUACGGAGGUGGCGAGCGUUACUCGGAUUCAUUGGGUGUAAAGGGCAGGUAGGUGUCCUAACAAGUGGGAGGUGAAAUCCUUCGACUCAAUCGAAGAACUGCCUUUCAAACUGUUAGGAUUGAGUAUGAGAGAGGAAAACGGAACUCUCGGUGUAAGGGUGAAAUCUGUAGAUAUCGAGAGGAACACCAGUUGCGAAGGCGGCUUUCUGGAUCAUUACUGACACUGAGCUGCGAAAGCUAGGGGAGCAAACAGGAUUAGAUACCCCUGUAGUC